rnacentral:misc_RNA from 1 species
GAUGAAGAACGUAGCUAAAUGCGAUACUUGGUGUGAAUUGCAGAAUCCCGUAAACCAUCGAGUUUUUGAACGCAAGUUGCGCCCGAAGCCACUAGGCCGAGGGCACGCCUGCCUGGGCGUCACACGCCGUUGCCCCCCCAUCUACUCCUUCGGGAUUGCGGGGGGGCGGAUGAUGGCCUCCCGUGCGCCUAGCCGCGCGGUUGGCAUAAAUACCAAGUCCUCGGCGACGCACGCCACGACAAUCGGUGGUUGCGAAACCUCGGUUGCCCGUCGUGUGCGUUCGUCGCGCAUCGAGGGCUCGAAAAAAUGCUCGGCUCCGGCUGGGCUUUCAACGCGAACCCAGGUCAGGCGGGGUUACCCGCUGAAUUUAAGCAUAUCAAUAAGCGGAGGA